rnacentral:rRNA from 1 species
AGCAGCCGCGGUAAUUCCAGCUCCAAUAGCGUAUAUUAAAGUUGUUGCAGUUAAAAAGCUCGUAGUUGAACCUUAGGCCCGUGCGGGCGGUCCGUCCUCAGGGCGAGCACUGCCCCGUCGCGGGUCUCACCUUCUGGCGAGCGCGGAUGCCAUUCGUUUGGUGUCCGCGGGAACCAGGACCUUUACCUUGAAAAAAUUAGAGUGCUCAAAGCGAGCUCCUUGCUUGAAUACAUUAGCAUGGAAUAAUGAAAUAGGACGAUGGUUCUAUUUUGUUGGUU